rnacentral:misc_RNA from 1 species
UUUCCGUAGGUGAACCUGCGGAAGGAUCAUUAUCGGGAAUGCCCUCCGGGGCUGACCUUCAACCCUUUGUCGUUAUAACCUCGUUUCUUUGGCGGGUCCGCCCGCCAGAAGACCUCUCAAACCCAACCAUCAUUGUCCUCUGAAGCAAACGAUAAUAAAAUCAAAACUUUCAACAACGGAUCUCUUGGUUCUG